AACGACUAUAACACGACGUUGUGAAAACAUCAGUUCUCGUCCGAUCCACAGAAGUUAAACAAUACUGGACCCGGUUAGUACUUGUAUGGGUGACCAACUGGGAAUAUCGGGUGUAGCCAGCU
rnacentral:rRNA from 1 species